ACAGGAACCCAGGGCCUCACCCAUGCUAAGCAAGCCCUGUGCCACGGAGCCCUAUUCCAGCCGGGAGUUUCAACAAUAAGGUGGUGAGAGAUAGAAAAUGUGCUGGAUCCACUGUAGGGUGGGACUGAGUCAGCGAGGAGGACCUUGAAAGAGGCUGUAGAAAUUGGUGCUGGGGCCAAUCAGAAGUGACUGCAGGCCCAUCAACAAGACAAAUCAGGUGGAAUCUGCAGAAUAAGAGAACACAAUCAACAUUUCCUAAAGGGAACCAAACCAGGCUGUCUCAUUCAGAAUCAGAUUCUAUGUGUGGCAGAGCUCUCCAUCAGAUACAGAUGUGGCCCCCUAAAUACAUGGCAUAGAAGCAAAAUGUGAAGAUCUCAUUGCCCAUGCCCCAUCUGCUCCACAGGGUGCAGCAGGGAGAAGGCAAGGGGUGAGCCCUCCUAUGAUGCUGGGCAGCUUUAGCUCCUCAUCAGCCUCGUGCUCAGGAGAGUGACCCACUGACAUCCUGUGAUAUGAUGCAUUGCUGAGUCAAUAUU